GUCGAACGGUAACAGGAAGCAGCUUGCUGCUUCGCUGACGAGUGGCGGACGGGUGAGUAAUGUCUGGGAAACUGCCUGAUGGAGGGGGAUAACUACUGGAAACGGUAGCUAAUACCGCAUAACGUCGAAAGACCAAAGAGGGGGACCUUCGGGCCUCUUGCCAUCGGAUGUGCCCAGAUGGGAUUAGCUUGUUGGUGGGGUAAUGGCUCACCAAGGCGACGAUCCCUAGCUGGUCUGAGAGGAUGACCAGCCACACUGGAACUGAGACACGGUCCAGACUCCUACGGGAGGCAGCAGUGGGGAAUAUUGCACAAUGGGCGCAAGCCUGAUG
rnacentral:rRNA from 1 species